GUCCCAGUAGUGCAAUGGAUAGCGCGUUGGACUUUAAAUCCAAAGGUCGUGGGCUUGAAUCCUACCUGGGAUG
rnacentral:tRNA from 1 species